rnacentral:rRNA from 1 species
UACGUAGGAUGUGAGCGUUAUCCGGAUUUAUUGGGUUUAAAGGGUGCGCAGGCGGAGGCACAAGUCAGCGGUAAAAUCGCGGGGCUCAACCCCGCUCCGCCGUUGAAACUGUGUCCCUUGAGUGCGCGAAGGGUAGGCGGAAUGCGUGGUGUAGCGGUGAAAUGCAUAGAUAUCACGCUGAACUCCGAUCGCGAAGGCAGCCUACCGGCGCGCAACUGACGCUCAUGCACGAAAGCGUGGGUAUCGAACAGG